AGCCUGGAGUGGCGGAAUGGCAAACGCAUCAGACUCAAAAUCUGACGAGGAGACUCGUGUCGGUUCGACCCCGACAGGGGCUGUCA
rnacentral:tRNA from 1 species